rnacentral:rRNA from 1 species
CCCUUAGAUGUUCUGGGCCGCACGCGCGCUACACUGAUUCAUGCAACAAGUUUUGUCCUUGGCUGAUAGGCCUGGGUAAUCUUUGAACGUGAAUCGUGAUGGGGAUAGAUGAUUGCAAUUAUUCAUCUUCAACGAGGAAUUCCUAGUAAACGCAAGUCAUCAGCUUGCAUUGAUUACGUCCCUGCCCUUUGUACACACCGCCCGUCGCACCUACCGAUUGAAUGGUCCGGUGAAAUCUUCGGAUCUGAGAGAUGUCUGAUUAAUUUCGGACGCCUUUUGGAAAAGUUGUUUAAACCUUACCAUUUAGAGGAAGGUUAAGUCGUAACA